rnacentral:rRNA from 1 species
AGGACGAACGCUGGCGGCGUGCUUAACACAUGCAGGUCGAGCGGAAAGGCCCUUCGGGGUACUCGAGCGGCGAACGGGUGAGUAACACGUGAGUAAUCUGCCCCUAGCUCUGGGAUAGCUCCGGGAAACCGGGAUUAAUACCGGAUAUGACCACUUUAGACAUCUGCUGUGGUGGAAAGAAUUUCGGCUAGGGAUGAGCUCGCGGCCUAUCAGCUUGUUGGUGGGGUAACGCCUACCAAGGCGACGACGGGUA